AGCAGCCGCGGUAAUUCCAGCUCCAAUAGCGUAUAUUAAAGUUGUUGCAGUUAAAAAGCUCGUAGUUGAAUUUCGGGAUCAAGGAAUCGGUCAUGCCUCGGUAUGUACUGGUUUUAUUGGUUCUCACCUUCUAAAGAACCAUGAUGUCAUUCAUUUGAUGUUAUGGGGAAUUAGGACUGUUACCUUGAAAAAUUAGAGUGUUUAAAGCAGGCUUACGCUUGAAUACAUUAGCAUGGAAUAAUGAAAUAGGACAUCAGAUUCUAUUUUGUUGGUUUCUAGGAUCGAUGUAAUGAUUAAUAGGGAUAGUUGGGGGCAUUAGUAUUCAAUUGUCAGAGGUGAAAUUCUUGGAUUUAUUGAAGACUAACUACUGCGAAAGCAUUUGCCAAGGAUGUUUUCAUUAAUCAAGAACGAAAGUUAGGGGAUCGAAGACGAUCAGAUACCGUCGUAGUCUUAACCAUAAACUAUGCCGACUAGGGAUCGGAUGAUGUUAAUUUUUAAUGACUCAUUC
rnacentral:rRNA from 1 species